GCGUCCUACGGGGGGCAGCAGUGAGGAAUAUUGGUCAAUGGACGCAAGUCUGAACCAGCCAUGCCGCGUGCAGGAUGACGGCUCUAUGAGUUGUAAACUGCUUUUGUACGAGGGUAAACCCCGAUACGUGUAUCGGGUUGAAAGUAUCGUACGAAUAAGGAUCGGCUAACUCCGUGCCAGCAGCCGCGGUAAUACGGAGGAUGCGAGCGUUAUCCGGAUUCAUUGGGUUUAAAGGGUGCGCAGGCGGGCCUUUAAGCCGGCGGUGAAAUCGCGGGG
rnacentral:rRNA from 1 species